CACUUCGAUACGUAAUCCACAGCCACUAAUAUGUACUGAUUAGAGACGGAUGGGGAAAAUGGCCCCAUGAAAUCGAUCCCCCAGACGUCGAUUAGUUCCACCUCCAGGAUACUGUUUAAAGGCAUUUCGUUUCUCCUGGAUAUAUUACCUGUGCAUUGACAUCGGUCACACCCUUUUGCGAAUUCAAAGGCAUCCUUAAAUAGUGUAGGCCAAUAAAAACCUGAAUGAAGGAUCUUCACCGUUGUUUUCAAAGCACCAAAAUGCCCUGCAUAUGUAGAUGAAUGACAAUGUUCUAAUAUCAAAGGCACUUCUUCCUCAGGUACGUAGCGACGAACAAUUUGAUCAGCCCCCCGCCUAUAUAGAAUGGGGUCCUUCAUAAAUAAUACUUCAAUUCAGCGAAAAAUUUCUUCUUCUAGUGACUAGAGUAAUCAAGCAACAUGAUAGACCUAGCUAAGUAGUUAACUAUGUCCGCAUACCAGGGUGCCUCCCCCAUACCAAAAAUCUAUUCAUCUGGGAAGACUUCAUUGAUUUCCACUGUCUCUGUCUGUUCUGCGGUCUCAAGUGGUCUGCCACCACAUUUUCACUGUCCUUUUUAUCCCUGAUUUCCAAGUUAAACUCUUGAAGUAACAAUAUCCACCGAAUGAGAUGGG
rnacentral:sRNA from 1 species